rnacentral:lncRNA from 1 species
GAAAUAAAGAAGACAAAAAAAAAAGUCCUUCUACAUUUUGUACAAUAACAUGAGAUUUAUUUACUGUUCAAUGAAAUAGUGUCAUCUCCUUCCCAUUUUUAAGAGAAGUCAGGGGAAAAAAAAAGAAAUUAGUGUUAGAAACAAAAUGAUAAUACCCUCUAAAAAAAAUCAACCUAGAACCACACAAUAAAAUCAAACUAAUAUACAUUCAAUUCAUAGCAAAAUUAUAUAUUUACUUACCAAAAACCCUUGUUUCAAUAAUUUAGAUUCAAACCUCUAUAAAAAGAAAACAAAAAUAGGGAAAGCGAGGAAUAAAAGAAAAAAAGAAAACUGCUAUCAUAGUAUUGUGUCAUAUAGAAAAAAUAUGUUUGUAUAUUUACAAUUGCAUCACAGUGUUGUGUCAUCUAGAAAAAAUAUGGUUAUAUAUUUCAUACUUGAAUAAAAAAUAUACGAGGUUAUAAAAACUAUUUUGCCUGUAUUUUUUGACAGUGUUGAUAUGAUUGAGUUGAAUGUCAAAAUUAUAUUUCUAAAUUUUGUGUAAAUAUUGGAAAAUUGAAGAUUGUAAAUCAACUUGCAUAUUCAUAUGUGUUUAUAUUUUGUGUUUCUUAUAUUUUAAUAAUUAUUUUCUACUUAUUUUGAAAAAAUUAAAAUCUGAAAUUUUUU